AACGAACGCUGGCGGCAUGCCUAACACAUGCAAGUCGAACGAGACCUUCGGGUCUAGUGGCGCACGGGUGCGUAACGCGUGGGAACCUGCCUUUAGGUUCGGAAUAACUCAGAGAAAUUUGAGCUAAUACCGGAUGAUGUCUUCGGACCAAAGAUUUAUCGCCUUUAGAUGGGCCCGCGUUGGAUUAGCUAGUUGGUGGGGUAAAGGCCUACCAAGGCGACGAUCCAUAGCUGGUCUGAGAGGAUGAUCAGCCACACUGGGACUGAGACACGGCCCAGACUCCUACGGGAGGCAGCAGUGGGGAAUAGUGGACAAUGGGCGAAAGCCUGAUCCAGCAAUGCCGCGUGAGUGAUGAAGGCCUUAGGGUUGUAAAGCUCUUUUAACCGAGAUGAUAAUGACAGUAUCGGGAGAAUAAGCUCCGGCUAACUCCGUG
rnacentral:rRNA from 1 species